CAUCACAUUACUGUCCGCAUCCACUGAAGAUAAUAUAUAUAAUGGGUUCUAUAUUGUUUUUUAUCGAGUCGCGCCUCGCCGCGCCACUCGCGUCCGAGAAAGACACGGAAGCAGCGGGCAGCGCCGCAGGUUUUUCCCGGGGAUGACCCCGCCAGAGUGGAAGAGCUCCGGAAAACAUCUACGCUGUGUCGAUGCACUUUACGAGCGAAAAAGACCAGCAAGCAAGGCAACUGCAAUGAAGCAUCAAGAAAGACAUGGACAUGCCAGCCACCCCGAGACUGAUAAUUCAUGAGAAGACAUUUCUGUCAAAGUGGAUGGUGAGCAAAGAUGGUGGCUACGUUUUGGAGCAGCACCUGGGUUUUGCAGACCGCUAUGUAUUCUUUGGCUGUUUGUCUUUUUUCCCUGUUUUGUUUCUGUUGCCUAAAGAUUCUUUGUGAGGAUAAAUCACAACAAAAUGCACUGCAAAACAUCCUAAGACAGGAGAA